GGCGCCGUACCCAAGUGGCUAAGGGAGCAGUCUGCAAAACUGCGAUGCGGCGGUUCGAACCCGCACGGCGCCUCCA
rnacentral:tRNA from 2 species